UGCGUUGCGAACGAGCGAGCGAAGCCUUUGCCCUCGAGCGACGCCACACCAGACCCUUCGCCCUCGCCGCCGCCGCCGAUCCCCUCCCUCAAACGCCGCCGCCCGUCGCUGCCGCCCCCGCCACCUCCCGUCGCGGGCAGGCGGUAGGAGCCCUGCCCGGCCAUGGCGACACCGCCGGCGGCCUCCUCCUCCCCCUCACCUUCUCUCCCUCUCCCAAGGGAUGGAAGGGAUCUGAUUGGAGCGGUGGAUCUGCGCCCUUGCCGUCUCUUCUUUUCUUCACCGAUUCCAGGAGGAGAUCGAAGUGGGAGGUAGACGAGCAGGAGCGCCGCGUCCGCGACAGCGAUGAGCGACGACCCAGGUUCUCCUCUCCCAUGGCAGGGGUCGGCGAGUGGCAACAGAUGCGGGACACCAACUGGUGGCGCAACGGACAGCGAGAGGCGGGACACCAACUGGGCGCGCCUCUCGCGGCCGACUUCCACGGCGGCGACGUCGUUUACCUUGGCGCCUGCUUCUUUCCGACUCAGCGAUCCCCGCGGGCACCGAUGGACGGCGACGGGCAGCACGUGCGGCCGCGGAGCCGCGCGCUCCUGGCCGGCGACGAGGAUGACGGGACGUACGCCAGCGACGUGUACAGCGGCAACCUCGCCGCCACGGGCGGGUCUCGUGCUGGCCGGAUCUUGGGGCGGUAGCAGUACUUGGUGCAGCGCCGCCGCGGCGACUACGGCAGCGUCGGGGUCGUCGUCGUCCUCAUCCGCACAGGGAAGCUGGACUCGGAGGUUUGCUGCUUCCGGUCGGCAGACGAUGGCUAUGACGCUAUGCCCAGCACGAGUGCUAACGCCAUCACGGCCGGCACCACUGGCACCAGCAGCCGCUCGGUGUGCUCUCCGGGAUGCUGCAGUCGAAGGGUCGAGCAGGAGCUAUGGAUGCCAGCAAACAAGCCUGUGUAGACGGCAAUGCAUCAAUCAAAUCGGAUGGAGAACAUCAGACAACAGCCUUUCUCCAGGACAUAAAGAAAAUGGUGGCACUUUGGGUUUUGCAGACGCCGCCUCGCGUAGGACUACGAACAUGGGACGCUCGGUCGAGUUUUUCUUAACUCGUCAGGAUUCUCAUGCUGCAAGGGCAAAUUUUUGGGUGUCCUGAUGUGUUUGCGGAUUGAUGAAAAUUUGGCGAGGGAGAUCAUAAACCAUCGCUCGCUGCAGCACAUCAAUUGUUGAAUUCGUUUGAAGGAGCUGUCAAUUGUUGAAUUCGCUUGAAGGAGAUGGAGCUCGUUUGGCUGAAUUUGCUACUGAGUUGCCACAUUUUGAGGGCCUGCAAUUGAAGAAUACAACACUUGAGAUAACAAUUGAAGAAUACUAGAGUAAUAAUAACUACUGCAAGAGUGAUGUAUUUUCUUUUUGUUGGAGAUUUUCUGCAUCUUUUAUGGACGGUAACAUUUGAGAUAACAAUUUGAUGUGCUAACCAUCAAGAUCAACUUCGACAUGUUUGGUCUCUAAAAGUUACUAUUGACCAUCAUUGGUGCAUCCUAUAAGAAGGGGAAAAUAAAGCAUUAAUGUGGAGUAUGUUCCAAUGGAAAUCUUCAGGAACACCUUGAAGGUCUGAGUGCAAUUUUUCUUUAGUUCUCUGUGAGCUUAAAAAUGCAACUGAUGUGGCCCAUGCAACUGAAAUUAAAAACAUGGAGAAGAAUCAUAAAAGAUCUCGCUGAAAAUGCCCUCGUUCCGCACUUCGUGUGGACAGGCAGCGCCCUUUACCUUCGAAGUCUCGAAAAAUGGUCUGGGUGAUGUGGGUGCCUCAAUGCUUGAUGCCAUGUUCUGUAAGAGGCCAAGGUUGUAUUUGGGUGUCCACGCGCUACAGGGAAUUACUGUGCGGAGUAGUAAGAAUUGAUUUAAACGUAGAGCCUAGACUCGCACUCCAUGAGCAUCCAUGGCCGGCGAGACAGGACCCUCGACCCUCGGCCUCUGUUGAGAAGGAUCGUUCCACUGUGUCCGAUUUGUAGUACAGAGCAAUCUCAUUCCUCUGAAGUUCCUAUUGGGCAAAAUGGGCAAGAUGUGUUUGGUUAAUGUAUGACUAUCACGUUCCCCACCAAGUGAAAUGUGCUAUUUCACCACAAACACUGACGAAGUUAAGCUCAGUGCAGGCAAAAUGGAUAAGUCUGUAACUGGAACUCUGGAUAGUUGAUCCUCUGAAUGGCGAAAAAUUUAUCAAAGUUGCUGAGGUUCAGGGGUCUGAAAUUAAGCCAUUUGUGGAUAGUUUAUCUAAAUGCCCAAAACCCACUUAGAGCUCCAGAGAGGUCUUGUUUUCUUGUACUAUGGAUUUAAGGUGAUUCUCAAGAGGAACAAGUCGCCAUGGACCGAUGAGAUCGAGAGACGGCUCCGCGGUUGCGUGGAGUGGCGGCUGAGAGGAGAGGCAACAACAACUCGUUGUCCGUGACGGCCCGAGCGUUUGCGAGAGGGGAUGGAGCGGGGGUUGCAUUGUCACGGCCAGUUGCCGGAGUGGAUGGAGUGGUGGCCGCACGGACGCGCUCCUGGAGGUGCCGGUAUGCACCCUGAUUUUGAGCCUGGGAGGUUCCUUGCUCUGCCCUAUCCUCAAGGGUGUUCAUCUACUUUGGUAUCGUGCUCUGGAGUCAGGACGAUGCACUAAUGCAGGUUUGAUUCUUUACUUUUUCUUUUGUUUUAUUUGUAUGCACAUCCCUGAAUUUUGUGUGUCGUGAUUUAAAUGUUGUCGUGUGUGCCAUUGUGUCCUAUAUAAUUAUUCUAUUGAAGCACCGCUGCAACCCAGAUUGUUUAUCAAAUUGAUGCAAGAAACAAACUAAUACAUAGAGAGUAUAAAUUUAUUGCAUUAAUCUGUAUAUCCCUGCACCUAGCAAUAGGUAGAGAUGGAAAAAUUUUGUAGCUUUCUGAUCCCGGUUUUUCCUAUUGAAAUUAUGGAUUUGGAAGCUAAUCAUGGAGUGUUUCGAUUGCCUGCUUACGGAAUCGCAAUGAGCACAAGUCUGCAACCUUGAAGGAAAACCCGUUGCAACUGGUGACAUAAUAUUACGUCGCAACAAGAAUGUAUAGAGCUACAGAGCUCUGUGGAUCCUUCUCUUCACAAAAGGAAACAAGAGGUAAUGUAAACAAUAGAUUCUCUUGUGAAAUUGCGAUUCAGCCUUGGGGCGUGGAUGGCGAGAAGCGGAGGCGUGUGCCUAGAGUAACGGACCAUGAUGGAUUGAUGAGCUGAUGUCACGUGACGUACUCACGUGGCGGCUGGUUAGGCUCCGGCGGCUGGAGCCAUCAUCGACCAUGAUGCCGCGCCAGGAGCACAAGGGCUAAGACGAGGACAUGUUGGUGCCGAUGAAAUAAGGUGCUGCCGGUUGAUGGGGGCCUAACCAUGAGUCUAACUGAAAGUGAACGGGAGCGAUGUGCAGAAAAAAAAUCUUAGCACAUAGGCUGAAUUUGUAUAGUACUUCGAAUUUAUUAGGCAGUACCCCCUCCAUUUGUAUAUCACUUCCGAAUACAAGUUCAGGUUAUUAGGCAGUACUAUUGAAUUUAAGGAUUGAUACUUGAAGAUUUUAAAAGGUUACUAAAUUUUGUACCAAGUCUACUGUUAUGUAUGGGAAGAACAUGCGCUAAAAUAUUGAUAAUGCAAAUGAAAGUGAUCGUUUGAUUAUUAAA